GAGGGCGGGCGGGGCCGGGGGCUCCUCCCUGCCCGCCGCCGCCACCUCCCUCCC
rnacentral:pre_miRNA from 1 species